CUCGGGUAUCAUUUGAUGAUGGCAAGCUGGACGCUCGCCGGCGCUCCACAGCAGCCGAGUCGGCCCCACGUGGGCCACGAGGCAGGUUACAGCUACAGAAGCUUCUGAACGCUCAGCCUCUGAAGCUGCCAUUCAGGAGGGUAGGACCAAUGUGGCAGGUAAAGGGUAACUGUGCCUGGGCUGACCCCAGCAGCAGCUGUCCCUCACUCUGUGGAAGGCAGAGAACGUGUGGCACUCUGCAUUUAGCACAGUGCUUUUGGAAUUAAAAAUGUAGGUUAAAUUGGUGUUGAUAGCACUGGUUAACGCAAUCUUACAAAGCUCUUAGAAAAACAACUCAGCCUGGGCACAAAAUGAUUUUUCUCCCCCAGUUCUUUGCUUUGAUGCUCAGAGAUGAUGGAGGAAGAGACAGAAUUUCUGUUCAAUUCAUCCCUUGCCUGUCCAUGUGCAGUAGGUGAGACAAGAACAAUUUUUGGGCAGCUGGCUUAGAAGCUCUAAAAGAAAUUGUCACGUCCCCUAAUGAAAUGGAGGGGUCGAGGCAUGUGUAUAGACUCGAUGCCAAAUGUCUCACCAUGUGUUCCCUUGAUUGCCAUGGUGCUCUACAGGUUUCCCAAGCCUUGUGCUCCAUCCUCUUGGUGCAAAACUCCCCAAGGACACCCCAGUUUGCAAGACUAAAGGAUCUGUGCUCAUCAAUGUGAAGAGCUGCAUGGGUGGCCUGCCCCGGCUGCUCUUUUGUUGGCUGAACCUCAGUGCUUGCAUCUAAAUGACUGACCCAGCCCCUGAGCAUGCUUUUAAAGCUGACUUUGAUCAAAGGGGCUGAAGGUUGCUGUUGGCUACAAAUGCUCUAGAAAAACAAACCCAGGAGUUAGGAGACUGUUGGUAACAAAAGCAGAGUUAAACCUCUGAGGCCAAGUUACUGCCACCCCACUUUUUUGUUCUUUCUUCUGUUUUCCAUAUUCUGAGUGCCAGUCCUUGUCUGAAGAGGGUUCUCAGCAGCGAGCUGCCUGCACACCUCAAAGCCUGACACUGUCAGGCUUUGACCUGCCUGUCCCUUUGUGCGCGCUGGGCUUGGCCUUCUGCUUUGGUUUGGCUGUUCAAUCGAUGAGACUUGUCCAUCUUGGACUCUUUGCCUGUUUGCUCUAAUUUCCAUACAUAGCCCUUUUUGCUAGAUUGCAUGUAAAUGCUCUUAUUAGUUUAUCAGAUAACUUACAUCUUGCACUUCAUGGUGUUCUAAUUGUGGCAAUCAGACUUGACUGUGUCCUAUCCCAAGUGUUUUGGAUGCAUUUUGAAGCCUUCCAGCCAGAGCCCAGGGGAAUCAUUUGUUUCACCUCGCGCAAGUGGCUGCUCUUUUGCAAAGAUGAUCAUAGAAACAUAGAAUCAUGGAGUGGUUAGAGAUGGAAAGGGCCUUAAGAUCAUCCAGUUCCAACCCCCUGCCAUGGGCAGGGACACCUCACACCAGACCCUGUCACCCAAGGCUCUGUCCAACCUGCCCUCAAACACUGCCAGGGAUGGAGCAUUCACCACUUCUCUGGGCAGCCUGUGCCAGUUUACAGAGGAAAUGUGCAGUAACUUCCAAGGGUUUGCUUUGGAAAAGAGAUAAAAAAACCAAACCAAACAUACAAAAACUCCCCCCAGCA
ensembl:lncRNA